rnacentral:rRNA from 1 species
UACAGAGGUCCCAAGCGUUGUUCGGAUUCACUGGGCGUAAAGGGUGCGUAGGCGGUCGGGUAAGUCUGAUGUGAAAUCUCACAGCUUAACUGUGAAACUGCAUUGGAUACUAUCCGGCUCGAGGAAUGGAGGGGAGACUGGAAUACUUGGUGUAGCAGUGAAAUGCGUAGAUAUCAAGUGGAACACCAGUGGCGAAGGCGAGGCUCUGGACAUUUCCUGACGCUGAGGCACGAAAGCGUGGGGAGCAAACAGG